rnacentral:rRNA from 1 species
UACGUAGGGUGCAAGCGUUGUCCGGAAUUAUUGGGCGUAAAGAGCUCGUAGGCGGUUUGUCGCGUCUGCUGUGAAAACUGGAGGCUCAACCUCCAGCCUGCAGUGGGUACGGGCAGACUAGAGUGCGGUAGGGGAGAUUGGAAUUCCUGGUGUAGCGGUGGAAUGCGCAGAUAUCAGGAGGAACACCGAUGGCGAAGGCAGAUCUCUGGGACGGUACUGACGCUGAGACGCGAAAGCGUGGGGAGCGAACAGG